AGGACGAACGCUGGCGGCGUGCUUAACACAUGCAAGUCGAGCGGAAAGGCCCUUCGGGGUACUCGAGCGGCGAACGGGUGAGUAACACGUGAGUAAUCUGCCCCUAGCUCUGGGAUAGCUCCGGGAAACCGGGAUUAAUACCAGAUACGACCACUUUAGACAUCUGUUGUGGUGGAAAGAAUUUCGGCUAGGGAUGAGCUCGCGGCCUAUCAGCUUGUUGGUGAGGUAACGGCUCACCAAGGCGACGACGGGGUA
rnacentral:rRNA from 1 species